rnacentral:rRNA from 1 species
UACGGAGGGUGCAAGCGUUAAUCGGAAUUACUGGGCGUAAAGCGUGCGCAGGCGGUUUGUUAAGUCUGUUGUGAAAUCCCCGAGCUCAACUUGGGAAUUGCAAUGGAUACUGGCAGGCUGGAGUAUGGUAGAGGAAGGUGGAAUUCCCGGUGUAGCAGUGAAAUGCGUAGAGAUCGGGAGGAACACCAGUGGCGAAGGCGGCCUUCUGGACCGAUACUGACGCUCAUGCACGAAAGCGUGGGGAGCGAACAGG